UUUGACAGAUGGAAUGAGCCAAUGUGCUUGAACCCUUUCGCGGAACAAUUAGUGUGUCGAGUUAUUAUUCGAAAUAUGAAUAAUUGAUUAAAGAUAUUUAAAUCCUUCAAUUAUCUAGUUUUCGCUGAUCUGGUACAUAUCAAAUUGAUAAGAAUGUUAGCUGUAUAAACAUUGUCAAAUGUAGUUAGAAUGUUAGAUAUUAUCCAGCAGACUAACCACGUGAGAUUCACAAGCUCAACUUAGAAGAAAUAUGUCCACACUCAAAGCCGUAUGCUAGACAUAAAAUGCAGCAGCAAAACAAUCAAUUCAGGAAAAGAGAAGUAACCUCAGUUUCAGAGAGCUUAUGUUG
rnacentral:misc_RNA from 1 species